GAGCCGCCGCGGUAACACCGGCGGCCCGAGUGGUGAUCGUGAUUAUUGGGUCUAAAGGGUCCGUAGCCGGUUUGGUCAGUCCUCCGGGAAAUCUGAUAGCUCAACUAUUAGGCUUUCGGGGGAUACUGCCAGACUUGGAACCGGGAGAGGUAAGAGGUACUACAGGGGUAGGAGUGAAAUCUUGUAAUCCCUGUGGGACCACCUGUGGCGAAGGCGUCUUACCAGAACGGGUUCGACGGUGAGGACGAAAGCUGGGGGCACGAACCGGAUUAGAUACCCGGGUAGUCCCAGCCGUAAACGAUGCUCGCUAGGUGUCAGGCAUGGCGCGACCGUGUCUGGUGCCGCAGGGAAGCCGUGAAGCGAGCCACCUGGGAAGUACGGCCGCAAGGCUGAAACUUAAAGGAAUUGGCGGGGGAGCACAACAACGGGUGGAGCCCUGCGGUUUAAUUGGACUCAACGCCGGACAACUCACCGGGGGCGACAGCAAUAUGUAGGCCAAGCUGAAGACUUUGCCUGAAUCGCUGAGAAGUGGUGCAUGG
rnacentral:rRNA from 1 species